UAGGGAAUCUUCCGCAAUGGACGAAAGUCUGACGGAGCGACACCGCGUGGAGGACGAAGGCCUUCGGGUUGUAAACUCCUUUUCCAGGGGAAGAAUAAGGGUAAGAGGAAAUGCUUACCUGAUGACGGUACUCUGGGAAUAAGCCACGGCUAACUCUGUGCCAGCAGCCGCGGUAAGACAGAGGUGGCAAACGUUACCCGGAUUCAUUGGGCGUAAAGGACGUCUAGGCGGUUUGGUGUGUCCUCUGUAAAAGCCCUCUGCUUAACGGGGGGAGGCCAGGGGAAACUACCAGACUAGAGGGUCGGAGAGGGAAGCGGAACUACCAGAGGAGCGGUGAAAUGCGUAGAUACUGGUAGGAACCUCGAUAGCGAAGGCAGCUUCCUGGCCGAUACCUGACGCUAAAGCGUGAAAGCGUGGGGAGCAAACCGG
rnacentral:rRNA from 1 species